UAUCAAUCAUUAACCAAGAAACUGCCCCCACAGACUUGUCUAUAGGUCAUUCUGGGGGAGGUAAUCCCUCAGCUGAGGCUCCCUCUUCUCAGGUGGGUUCUCAGGUUUGUUUCAUGUUGAGAAACACCAAUCAGAACAGUAGUUGACUGGCAUUUCACCCCUGGCACCUCGACCCGAGAUGUGUGCUCACCCUCCCUCCACCAACGCUGAUCUGAACUUUGCUAUCUGCUAAGGAUGAGAAAGUUGUCGUGCCCUGUUGUGACUGCCCUGUAUGCGUAUGACCUUGUACUGACCACCCCAGGCUCUCCCUCCCAGAAUUCCCUCCUCCUUUUGCAAAAACAUUCUGACGUUUUCAGACGCCAUCUUGCCUCACGAGCAUGCGCAGUCAAAAUGUGCUGUCUUUGCAUGGCAGACGCCAAAGGACUCCCAAAGACAUUUGAAUGGGAAAUGUCCCACAUAGAUUCAUAUAUAUUGGAACUUAUGGCCCCCCAGUCAGCGGCACUUUUGAGGGAGAUUAAAGGAAGUAUGGUGUUGGGAGCAGGCUUUGAAGAACCUUCUCAUUCCAUUGCCGUCCAACAUGGGCAAAUUACCGGUGUGUUUGGAGAUGAAGUGUCCCCCAAAAGACCCUUGUUGAGGGCUUAGACCCCAGCAGGUCAGACUAAGCUGGGGGGAUCAGCUCUGCCCUGAGCCUGCCGUGAUUGAGCUAUGACCCGAUCAAUCGAUCAAUCGAUGGAUCACUGAUUUUGAACAGGCUUGCUGCACCAUAUCCUCCGAAGUACCCUGCCCCCAUGCUAUUCUGUUCUACCGUGGACCCUGCUGACCAGGAAACCGCAUCUCUGAAUCAAUGAGUCAAAGAAGACUUCCCUUCAUUCUUAAGUAGUUUUUCUUUGGGCAGCACAGUGAACACCGUCCGAAGACAGUGGUUCCUCCUGGAUGCUCCACAUGCGGUUCUGUCUCGCUUUCUGUUAU
rnacentral:sRNA from 1 species